AGCGGAUAGGUGUAAUGGUUGCAUAUUAGCCUCAUAAGCUAAAGGUAAUAAGUUCGAUUCUUAUAUCCGCAA
rnacentral:tRNA from 1 species